rnacentral:rRNA from 1 species
CAGCAGCCGCGGUAAUACGGAGGGGGCUAGCGUUGUUCGGAAUUACCGGGCGUAAAGCGCACGUAGGCGGCUUGGUAAGUUGGAGGUGAAAGCCCAGGGCUCAACCCUGGAAUUGCCUUUAAGACUGCCGAGCUGGAGUACGGUAGAGGCAGAGAGAAUGUCCGGUGGAGCGGUGAAAUGCGUUGAGAUCGGAAAGAAUACCAACGACAAAAGCAUUCUGUUGGGCCGAAACUGACACUGAGAUACGAAAGCUUGGGGAGCAAAUGGGAUUAGAUACCCCUGUAGUCCCUGUCUCUUAUAC